AUGGCCUGCGUUGAAGCAGGAGGCGUUAGGGGUAUAAAUGCAGAUAUUAAGCCGCAAAGCAGGCUUGAAAAAUUGGCUUCGCCUCCAAAAUUCAGGACAAAUAGCCAAGUCCACGCUUGUAGAUUAGCAUAUGGAGUAACAGUGCAGCUUGAGAGUUUUGAACGUUUCAAGUCAGCAGCUGCACGCAAAGCGUGUGUGUUUUUAGUGGGAGAUUUUCUUUGCCAUGCUGCAAACUGUAAAUUGAUAAAUUUGAUGCAGUUUAACAAGAGGGAAAUUAGCAAGCAUCUGCCUUCUGGUUUGAAGAUACCCUUAGCUGUUCUUAACACAAUAAUGUCGAGCUCCUUAUGUUUAUUUCUGCCAAUCAGGUUUCCAGGGCCCUCUUUUCGCUACGCUCCUUGGGUUGCCCGUGAGACCACCCUGAGCCUGCCGGAUCCCCNGAGGAUAAACCACCCGUUUGAUCUGUACAUCGAUGCGCUUCACUACAUACCUGACAAUGCGACCAUUACAAAAGUGACAGGUUAUUUCAAAAAUUCUGCCUUGGAGAACAUGCACCAUAUCGUGGCCUUNCCAGUUCUGGAGAGCUCAUCUCGGAUUCCAGAGUUCCAAUACCGAGUCGAGAUACCGAGUGGAAGCGUUCAAGCUGAAAUGGAUCUCAACAUGUGGCUUCUCUUCCAGGUCCAUACUGUGGAUUCUGAUUCCGGAGACCUUGUUCUACUAGGGAGCUGUGGCAUGCGGAUCUACAAUGCUGAUGGGGACCUGAACGUGGGAGGAUUUCAGCUGAAGCUGAGAGCUGGUUUGCUCGAAGACGGGACUUCUUCGGUUACCUUACCAGGGCUCAAUCACCACCUGGUUGUUCCUUGUUGUAGUCUUCUGGUUCGACUCUUGCCGCAUACAGAGAUUCCAGUGCCUCCCCCAAGCUACUGGGAAGGGUACUAUUUCACUGCAGGGGCAAAACCCAGCCGUUCAGAGCUGGAGAUCAUCUCCAGCUUUCAGAAGGACGACAGCUUUCCACGGCGUGUGCUGGACAUGGUAGUGUGGCUGGCAAAUAAGGAGCAAAUCAGAGUUCCCCCUGAUCAGUUAAAAGCCUGGUGCAUAGAAAAACUAAGUGAGAGGGGAAGUCUGUCAGGGCAGCAGACCCCAAAGUGUAUCAACUUGCAUCGCACAGUCCGAUACCGACAGGAAGCUGGCGUCCGUGUCCAAGUCAAGCAAGCCUUUGGACUUAAAGCUGAUGGGUGUUACGUGAAUGCCCUGGCCAGAGUCUUUAAGGGAUCAGCAAGUCUGCACUUACCUGAGUUGCCUCAGCGCUGGGCGGGGGACGAGUUCUUCCUGACGCGGCACCUUGAUUUCUCAAGCCUCCAGAGAUCACCGAAGUGGACGGACCAGUCUGUGGUGAUCCAUCCUUACCUGGACGAUCACAGUGUCCUCUUAGUCCAAAUAUAUGGCUUGAAUGCUGUUUAUACCCCAGAUCCGACUGGAGAUAGAGUGGGCAAGGUGACGCCACGUUCUGGUCAAGUUCUUGAGCUUAAUGAACAGUCACAGCUGGGUUGGACGGCUUUCCCCCUCUUUUACAGGAACUGCGUAAGAAGUGGCUUGCACAGUGCACCGUUGUUCCAAGGGACACCAAGUGCUGAAUUCCUACAGAGCAUCACUGCUCACCCCGUGAAGGACAUCAUGGCUGAACAUCUGCAGGAAAAAAAACUCCGACUUCUCGCGACAUAUGGCAGCGUUGCCGUUGAAAUAUGGGACGGCCAUUUCUUCGACGACGAUCGUCCGGAGUUGCCUGUUCUCAACGAUCUUCUUUCCAUCGACAAGCCAAAGAAAUUUUUGGCAACCCAAACCAGCCGAAAGGGCAAGGAGAUGUCCCAGCUUGUUCUGAAAACUCUGGAUAAGAAAUUAAGAAAACGAGGUUGCGACAGCCUAGAAUACCAGCAGCAAGAACGUUUGUACGCGCAAGCAAUGGGGAACACCUUUUACAANGUGAUGGAAACAGCUUUGCUGAAUGCAGGAUAUGGUCCUUUAUGAUUGAUCAUCUUGAAAAUUGUUGACAAAGGCAAAGGAUCUUUGGAACUGAAAGCUUUUCUAGGCUCCCCGUUACAGCCAAAUAGUACAUGAAGUCUCCGUUGGUGAGUGCAUUGGGGAAAAUACAAACAUAGCAUUUUUAAGAGAAAGUGAAGGUCGUUUUAUUAACACCAGCAUAACCCUUCUUCACAGGAUCUGAAAUAUUUACACUGUAUACCGAAUUAUAAAAUGCAACUAAAAAAAAUCUUUUUUAUUCAUCUUCUGCUUAAAUAUGCAAAAUAAAAUAA
ensembl:lncRNA